UCCGACUUCACGUCGGCAGUAUCGCUAGAGUGCUCAGCGUACCUGGUAGCAACUAACGACGAGGGUUGCGCUCGUUGCGGGACUUAACCCAACAUCUCACGACACGAGCUGACGACAGCCAUGCAGCACCUUCUCACCGGUUCCCCGAAGGGCACUCCCUAGUCUCCUAAGGAUUCCUGUGCAUGUCAAACCCAGGUAAGGUUCUUCGCGUUGCAUCGAAUUAAUCCACAUGCUCCGCCGCUUGUGCGGGCCCCCGUCAAUUUCUUUGAGUUUCAGUCUUGCGACCGUACUCCCCAGGCGGCGAACUUAACGCGUUAGCUUCGACACUGAGAGCCUGAUUGCUCCCAACGUCCAGUUCGCAUCGUUUAGGGCGUGGACUAC
rnacentral:misc_RNA from 1 species